UACGAAGGGGGCUAGCGUUGUUCGGAAUCACUGGGCGUAAAGGGCGCGUAGGCGGCCGAUCAAGUCGGGGGUGAAAGCCUGUGGCUCAACCACAGAAUGGCCUUCGAUACUGUUUGGCUUGAGACCGGAAGAGGUCAGUGGAACUGCGAGUGUAGAGGUGAAAUUCGUAGAUAUUCGCAAGAACACCAGUGGCGAAGGCGGCUGACUGGCCCGGUUCUGACGCUGAGGCGCGAAAGCCAGGGGAGCAAACGGG
rnacentral:rRNA from 1 species